UACGGAGGGGGGCUAGCGUUGUUCGGAAUUACUGGGCGUAAAGCGCACGUAGGCGGCUUUGCAAGUUUAGAGGUGAAAGCCCGGGGCUCAACUCCGGAAUUGCCUUUAAAAACUGCAUCGCUAGAAUUGUGGAGAGGUAAGUGGAAUUCCGAGUGUAGAGGUGAAAUUCGUAGAUAUUCGGAAGAACACCAGUGGCGAAGGCGACUUACUGGACACAUAUUGACGCUGAGGUGCGAAAGCGUGGGGAGCAAACAGG
rnacentral:rRNA from 1 species